UCACUGCUUAGCAAAUGAAGACUUUUCCAU
rnacentral:piRNA from 1 species